rnacentral:rRNA from 1 species
UUUAAAUUGAGAGUUUGAUCCUGGCUCAGGACGAACGCUGGCGGCGUGCCUAACACAUGCAAGUCGAACGGAGAUAUGCCGGAAGAUUUAUCGGAAGGUGUAUUUUAGUGGCGGACGGGUGAGUAACGCGUGGGUAACCUGCCUUAUACAGGGGGAUAACACAGGGAAACUUGUGCUAAUACCGCAUAAUAUUAUUUUGUCACAUGGCAGAGUAAUCAAAGGAGUCAAAUCCGGUAUAAGAUGGACCCGCGUCCGAUUAGCUAGUUGGAGGUGUAACGGACCACCAAGGCGACGAUCGGUAGCCGGACUGAGAGGUCGAACGGCCACAUUGGGACUGAGACACGGCCCAGACUCCUACGGGAGGCAGCAGUG